UACCUACGGGGGGCAGCAGUAGGGAAUCUUCCACAAUGGACGAAAGUCUGAUGGAGCAACGCCGCGUGAGUGAAGAAGUAUUUCGGUAUGUAAAGCUCUAUCAGCAGGGAAGAAAAAAGACGGUACCUGACUAAGAAGCCCCGGCUAACUACGUGCCAGCAGCCGCGGUAAUACGUAGGGGGCAAGCGUUAUCCGGAUUUACUGGGUGUAAAGGGAGCGUAGACGGCAUAGCAAGUCUGAAGUGAAAGCCCGUGGCUCAACCGCGGAACUGCUUUGGAAACUGUUAAGCUGGAGUACUGGAGAGG
rnacentral:rRNA from 1 species